CAGGCCAGACUGAGACCACCAACCCAUCAACUGGGCUCUUUUGACGGCAAGAGGUUGGAACUCCACCCUCAGGGCAUGCUAAUGCCUCCAUUCUGUGAACAUGUGUCCUACAAAGAGACAUGAAGCCUGACUACGCUUGCGUAGAUCAUCAAUUACCUCAUCUCUCCUCACCUCCAAUCAUUUCAGACCACCUUGUCCGUUCCCAUAAAUAGCCCUGAGUCCCUAUUUUCGGGGAGGCGGAUUUGAGACUUGUUCUCCCGUUUUCCUCACUUGGCUGCCUUGUAAUUAAACCCUCUCUCUCUGCAAUCUCGUCGUCUAGGUGAUUGGCUUUCUGGGUGGCAGGCAAAAACGGACCUGGUGCGGUAACAGCAUCCGGUAAAUGAUUAGGAAUCGGUAAUUCCCAUCAAUUGUGGAAAAUGACAGGACAAACGUAUCAUCUGGAGGGAUAAUUCUACUAUGUUCUGAGGGGCCCAGACAGCAGAGGACUGAACAGCAAAGCUUUUGUUUAAUAUAUUGGAGUUUGACCCCAAAUUUAAUUAAAACUCUUGUGGACCAUCUUGUCACGUUUGGAGUUGCUCUGCUAGGAUGCCGUUGUCAUCUGGCUUCAUGUC